CCGCACGCGCGCUACACUGACACAUGCAACAAGUUNAUUUUUCCUGACGCGGAAGGGUUCGGGUAAACUUGUAGAAUGUGUGUCGUGCUAGGGAUAGAUCUUUGGAAUUAUAGAUCUUGAAACGAGGAAUUCCUAGUAAGCAUAAGUCAUCAGCUUGUGCUGAUUACGU
rnacentral:rRNA from 1 species